UAGCUGAGUGGCAAAGGGCUUGACUUCCGAACAGGUGGGUCCCAGGUUCGAAUCCUGG
rnacentral:tRNA from 1 species